AAUGUUUGUAUACUAUAAAACAAAUAUAAUUCCUUGUAUGACCUUGGUGUUUAUAUUAAUUCAGACUACUGGGCUUAUAAUUUAAAUCUGUAUGAUACUUCUGCUUUGAAUUUGAUCUUCUAGCUUCAAGCUUUCCAAGUGACUAAACUGCCAAAGACAAAGUAAUGAAAAAGCAAAGCUUCCUGUGAGCAGUAUCCUCCAGUUUAACAUUAAAUUUAUUUGGUUGACAUAUAAAAUCCAAAUGAUUUACACUGAAAUUAAAAACACAAUUUGGAUAAGAUAAAAUUCAAUCAUUUUCCUCAUAAUUUCUAACAUUCUUCAAAGAAACACCAACAGUAAUAUUUUUUGACUUAACUAUGACUGUGCAGAACAGACAACAUCUGAUCCCUGUGUGUUAAGAUGGAUAAAAACAGAGAUGUAAGCAAUAAGCAGAAGUUUGUUAUCACCUCCUACAUUGAUAUGGUUCUUUUUCUUUUACAUAUAAGCCAUUUUCAACAAUAUAAAAAAUACGAUAUACAUACAGAGUCAUACUGUCAGCCUCCUGACUGUACUCAAUCAAGCAUUGGUCAAAUUAUUUGGCUCUAACAAAACCCAGAAUUCUGAUUCUAAUCUUCGUCAGUUUAAAACCAUAAAUAAGAGGAUGCAUUAAAGGGGGAAUGACAAAAAACUGUAUUGCAAUAAAGUUUUGGAUGGUUUGAGAUAUAUUUUUAGAACCAUAUCUGCUAAACAUUACAUCAAAAAGUUUAGUCAUAAAAAAAAUGAGCAGGGAGGCUAAAUGUGGCACACAUGUCUGCAUGAACUUGGCCCUGUUUUCUGUAGAAUUCACACAGGUUUUGACGAGAUAGACAUAGGACAAACAUAUAAAAACACCAUGAAAAAUGUAAACUAUUAGAGCAAAAUAGCCGACUAUGUUAUCAACAAAAGUUUCAGCCGGAAAACAAGCAAGUUUAACAAUCGACCAGGUGACGCAAAACAAUCUGGAAACAUGAUUACUGCACAGCUUUAACCUUGAUGCAAGUAAAAUAGUAGUGGAUAUAACCAAAAAAGGUGUGAUCACAGAGAAACACACCAACUUCACUAGUAUCUUCCUGGACAUGAAGGAGUGGUACUCAAGCGGUCGACAUAUAGCCACAUAUCUGUCAUAUGCCAUUACUGCAAGAAUUGAUAGAUCAGCACAGGCAAAUGUGUUCACAACUAGAGACUGAACAAGACAUCCAUAAUAGGAGAUAACAUGGACUGGAGACAGCAGAUCCCAGAGAAACUUUGGAAAAAAAACCAGUUGAUCCGUACAGCCCAUUAAUGCAAAACGCACACAGUAGAAUAUACAUGGGUUCAUGCAGGUUUUUAUCUAUGAUGAUUGUCACAAUGAGAACUAAAUUAACAAACAAAAUUAAACAGUAACAGAGUAAAGUGAGAGAGAAGAUAACAAAGCGAUAUUUCUUUGUCUCAUUAAGACCAAAAAGAAGGACACUGAAGUGUUUUCCAUUGGGCUAAUUUCUCUCCCCCCCUGUUAAAGGAGGGGAUAACUCAGCCCCGAAUAGUCCCAGCUAUCUCUUCUCACAUUUAUAAAUGUAUUCUCAGAUUACAUCAACUAAAGGAGGGAAUUCAGAUGGACCAAUCAGGAAAGCUUAUAUGUCUGUCACCUGGAUACAAACAAAAUAAACAUUAAAAUUAGAGGAAUUUGGAUUCUCAAGCAUUUUUUAAAUGUUGUUCGGGUCACAAAUCUGGGAAUUCAAAAGUAAUUAUUGACUAAUCCAAUAAUCAAACCUAACUCAAAUUGACAACAUACAUUUGUCUACAGGUUUUCUUUCUUAUCUGAAAACUUUUCAAAAGUAAAAACAUGACAGGCAUGUACCAGAAGCGUCAACAUCAGUGUGAAUUCAAACUUUAGUGCAUUUCCAAACCAUCCAAAAUACAUUUACUAAGAAGAGAAGCAAAAAUUAACUUGAAAGACGUUCAAAGCAUUGAUCCACCAUUGAUUUACAACCCCAGUGGAUUGGAAACAAGCUGGUGACAUGACCAAAACAGGGUCGUAUCUUCAGCUGUAAGGCUUGGAUCUACCCCCUUCCCACUAAUUUCAGACUUUAAAAUUAAGGAUAUAAAAAUCUCAGGUCUUGUUGCUGAUGGUCUAAUGUGAUUUUGUAUUUCAUUAACACUCAUCAUGAUAAAUUUUGGUCUAUUUAAUAAAUGUCAAUGAACUCCUCAUAGGAGCUUUAAAGUCAGGUAAAGUGGAUGUUUUCUGGCCUUGUUGGUGUGUUAAUUUGUUGUGGUCAACUUGGUACUCUAUGUCAUCAUCUUGUAUGCUACAGUUUUCAUCCUCAUGUGGCACACAGUAGAAGAAGUUUAAGAACCACCUCUUUAAACCCAUUUUGGUAGCCUGGCUGGGCCAUCUAGUUGUGUGAAUCACUUGCCGUU